rnacentral:rRNA from 1 species
UACGGAGGGGGCUAGCGUUGUUCGGAAUGACUGGGCGGAAAGCGCACGUAGGCGGCUUUGUAAGUUAGAGGUGAAAGCCCGGGGCUCAACUCCGGAAUUGCCUUUAAGACUGCAUCGCUAGAAUUGUGGAGAGGUAAGUGGAAUUCCGAGUGUAGAGGUGAAAUUCGUAGAUAUUAGGAAGAACACCAGUGGCGAAGGCGGCUCACUGGUCCGGUACUGACGCUGAGGUGCGAAAGCGUGGGGAGCAAACAGG